AUUGAACGCUGGCGGCAGGCCUAACACAUGCAAGUCGAACGGUAACAGAAAGCAGCUUGCUGCUUUGCUGACGAGUGGCGGACGGGUGAGUAAUGUCUGGGAAACUGCCUGAUGGAGGGGGAUAACUACUGGAAACGGUAGCUAAUACCGCAUAACGUCGCAAGACCAAAGAGGGGGACCUUAGGGCCUCUUGCCAUCGGAUGUGCCCAGAUGGGAUUAGCUAGUAGGUGGGGUAACGGCUCACCUAGGCGACGAUCCCUAGCUGGUCUGAGAGGAUGACCAGCCACACUGGAACUGAGACACGGUCCAGACUCCUACGGGAGGCAGCAGUGGGGAAUAUUGCACAAUGGGCGCAAGCCUGAUGCAGCCAUGCCGCGUGUAUGAAGAAGGCCUUCGGGUUGUAAAGUACUUUCAGCGGGGAGGAAGGGAGUAAAGUUAAUACCUUUGCUCAUUGACGUUACCCGCAGAAGAAGCACCGGCUAACUCCGUGCCAGCAGCCGCGGUAAUACGGAGGGUGCAAGCGUUAAUCGGAAUUACUGGGCGUAAAGCGCACGCAGGCGGUUUGUUAAGUCAGAUGUGAAAUCCCCGGGCUCAACCUGGGAACUGCAUCUGAUACUGGCAGGCUUGAGUCUCGUAGAGGGGGGUAGAAUUCCAGGUGUAGCGGUGAAAUGCGUAGAGAUCUGGAGGAAUACCGGUGGCGAAGGCG
rnacentral:rRNA from 1 species